rnacentral:rRNA from 1 species
UACGUAGGCAGCAAGCGUUGUCCGGAAUUACUGGGCGUAAAGCGUGCGCAGGCGGUGAUGUAAGACAGAUGUGAAAUCCCCGGGCUCAACCUGGGACCUGCAUUUGUGACUGCAUCGCUAGAGUACGGCAGAGGGGGAUGGAAUUCCGCGUGUAGCAGUGAAAUGCGUAGAUAUGCGGAGGAACACCGAUGGCGAAGGCAAUCCCCUGGGCCUGUACUGACGCUCAUGCACGAAAGCGUGGGGAGCAAACAGG